UAAAGAGGAGGUGGGGAGAGAGAUGUAGAAGACAGAAAGAGGUAAAACAGAGGAAGAAAGAGGAGGUGAGGAGAGAGGUCUAGAAGACAGAAAGAGGUAAAACAGAGGAAUAAAGAGGAGGUGGGGAGAGAGGUGUAGAAGACAGAAAGAGGUCAAACAGAGGAAGAAAGAGGAGGUGGGGAGAGAGGUGUAGAAGACAGAAAGAGGUCAAACAGAGGAAGAAAGAGGAGGUGGGGAGAGAGAUGUAGAAGACAGAAAGGGAAAGAGGUGGGGAGAGAGAUGUAG
ensembl:lncRNA